rnacentral:rRNA from 1 species
GACGAACGCUGGCGGCGUGCUUAACACAUGCAAGUCGAACGGAAAGGCCUCAGCUUGCUGGGGUUCUCGAGUGGCGAACGGGUGAGUAUCACGCGGGUGAUCUGUCUUGCACUCUGGGAUAUGACUGGGAAACUGGGUCUAAUACCGGAUAUGAACUGUUUUUCGUGUGGUGGUUGGAGAGAUUUUUCGGUUUACGAUGAGUUGGCGGGCUAUCCGCUUGUUGGUGGGAUAAUGGUCUACCAACGCGUUGCCGGGUAGCCGGCCUGUGGGGGUGUACGGCCACAGUGAGACUGAGAGACGGCCGAGACACCGACGGGAGGCAGAUGGGGGGAAGAUUGAACAAGGGGCGGAAGCCGGAUGCAGCGGCGCCGCGGAGGGGAAGACGGCCUUAGUGGUGAAAACUCAUUUCGACAGGGACGAAGCUUGUUGUGACGGUACCUGAAGAAGAAGCACCGGCUAACUACGUG